rnacentral:rRNA from 1 species
CAGUAGCCGCGGGAACACGUAGGGUGCAAGCGUUAAUCGGAAUUACUGGGCGUAAAGCGUGCGCAGGCGGUUAUAUAAGACAGAUGUGAAAUCCCCGGGCUCAACCUGGGAACUGCAUUUGUGACUGUAUAGCUAGAGUACGGCAGAGGGGGAUGGAAUUCCGCGUGUAGCAGUGAAAUGCGUAGAUAUGCGGAGGAACACCGAUGGCAAAGGCAAUCCCCUGGGCCUGUACUGACGCUCAUGCACGAAAGCGUGGGGAGCAAACAGGAUUAGAUACCCCAGUAGUCCCUGUCUCUUAUAC